rnacentral:rRNA from 1 species
AAUCAACGCUGGCGGCGUGCCUCAGACAUGCAAGUCGAACGAUUAAACUUUCCUUCGGGAAAGAUAUAAAGUGGCGCACGGGUGAGUAACACGUAAGUAAUCUACCCUCGAGUGGGGAAUAACGUUCGGAAACGGACGCUAAUACCGCAUAACGCAGCGGCACCGCAAGGUGACAGUUGUUAAAGGAGUAAUUCGCUUGA